rnacentral:rRNA from 1 species
AUUGAACGCUGGCGGCAGGCCUAACACAUGCAAGUCGAGCGGAUGAAGGGAGCUUGCUCCUGGAUUCAGCGGCGGACGGGUGAGUAAUGCCUAGGAAUCUGCCUGGUAGUGGGGGAUGACGUCCGGAAACGGGCGCUAAUACCGCAUACGUCCUGAGGGAGAAAGUGGGGGAUCUUCGGACCUCACGCUAUCAGAUGAGCCUAGGUCGGAUUAGCUAGUUGGUGGGGUAAAGGCCUACCAAGGCGACGAUCCGUAACUGGUCUGAGAGGAUGAUCAGUCACACUGGCACUGAGACACGGUCCAGACUCCUAAGGGAGGCAGCAUUGGGGAAUAUUGGACACUGGGCGAAAGCCUGCCCCAGCCAUGCCGCGUGUGUCAAGAAGGUCUUCGGACUGUAAAGCACUUUAAGUUGGGAGGAAGGGCAGUAAGUUAAUACCUUGCUGUUUUGACGUUACCAACAGAAUACGCACCGGCUAACUUCGUG